GUAAACAACAGCAAUAGCUGCCUGAAGGCAGGUCUGCGUUUAAAUAUGUCUUUGACUCCACCAGGUGGAAUAACCUCCUCUGUUGCUGCAGUGUCAGCCAGGAGGAUAGAAGACUCAAGCAAGAACCAUGACAGUGGAGGAGAAGGGCUUCCUGUGAAUAGAUGUACCUGAGAGUGGAUGAAUCUUAGCGUACCCUUGUUGUCAUAACUGGAUUUUGUGGGAGCAGACAGAAGCAGCACAGCAUUCUAUUAAUUUUCACUGAGCAGCUGAAAUCAAAGGAAACAGCAAUUCACAGCGUUGCAUAAUCAGUGAUUAACCUUUUGUGAAGUAUUGCAAGUCCGUUGUGAAUUCUUCAUACCUUAAUAACACAAUGGACAGCUGAGAGAAAAGUCAAGCCUGAACCCUCAAAUGACACAUUUCUCUAUGAGCUGUUCCCUCUUGCAGGUUGUAUUCCUUUUUCUUUUGCUGGAAACACAACGGUGUUUUGGUUAUCUCCCUUGGGAGCCGGAUCCCCUGCCUGUUGGCUCUCCCAUCUUCCCCACCAUCCCAUCUGACUGGCUUUAUUUUUAGCUUACAAACAUUACAUGCUGUCACCCAUCAUGAAUUUGACCAUUUCUCUAUAUUUCAAAGACCUUUCCUUUCCUGAUAGGAUUUCUUCUAAGUCACUGACCGAUUAGUGGCUUGACUUAUGUAUCCCCUUUUCUCCAUAUGCCUCAUAGAGACAGUCCUCUCUCUAAUCAAGCCUAGGUAGCAUCUUUAAAAACUAUUUUCUAUUAAAUGCUUAAGAUUCAAGGCCAAACCCAUGUUGUAUCUGUUUCUCAGCUUUAAUUCUAUUUUGUACACACAGGAGGAACUCGGCUGUAAAGGUUUUUACAAAUUAAACCAGAUUACCUCACACAGAAAAGAUUCUGACAGCCAGGUUCCUCUGAAAUACUUACAUUCUUUUAUUUGAUCUUAAAGUUAAGAUGAAGGAAAUAGGAGAAUGUUUCUUCUAUUACAGUAGGAAGCUCCUCUUGUUGGCUAUAAUUAUUUUUAUUAAUCUUAUGAACGGAAGUGUUCACUUGCUCAUUCAAAUCCAGUCAGACUGACUGUCAAGAAAUCUGUACAGUGUUAUUCCUACCGCUAGAUUCGGAUGGUGAUUCAAUGAUACAAGAACUUUCACAAGAAUUUUGUUAUACUCGGGUUAGUUCCCUAGUUUGAUUCAUAAUACAGCUUCACAAGCAUUUCUGUCAGCACAGAGCACAGCCAGGAGUGGAAGCUGGAGCUCCUGAAACCAGUAGUAACUCAAGUCUCUGCACCUUUGAACAGUGCCCUGGGUUGCAGUGAAGUCGGUGGGAUCCACUGUGGAAUGGGGACUGAAGUCCCUAAUGAACAAAAGUUGUUAGCAGAAGAUGGUUGCAUGGCAAAUGAAUUUGUGGCUGCCCACAUCACAGAAACCACUAUCAUAAUUAGUUCCCUUGCUGAAUGUCUCAACAAGAGUUAAUGGGCAUGGCAUGGUGAAAUCCUGGUCCCUCUGAAGUCAAUGGCAAAACUCUCACCAACUUCAAAAGGGUCAAGUUUCAUACUGAAACUCUAGCUCAAGUCCUCUCUUGCAUCCAUAAGGAAAGACAGAAGCAAAGUAGCAUAGAAAUUGGGAUGUGAAAUAGUGAUGACUUCAUCAGUGAUGUCAGUUACAACAAUUUCACAGAAGAUGCUGCCUGGUGUCCAAGAUGGGAACUGCAUUUCUUUGUGGCUGCAAAAAAUCCUUACAACAAAAAACUUCACAGAGAAGGUCCUCGAGUUCAGCAGAGUGUAGGGGUAAGCUAGUCCAACAGGAUUCCAGCGACAACCUGAAGGGGAAAUAUAAAAGAGAUGACCCUAUAGGCUUCGGCUUUUUCUUUAUACCUUUCGAGGAGAGUUUGGACGCCUGCUGAUGGUCUAGCCAAGAUCAGGCUGUUUAUCUGCUGCUUCUUUUCUGCUCUUCCAUCUCCCAGGGAGUUGAAAACAACACUGCCUCAGGAUAUACUUCUUCAGCUGUAGUACUUUCAACAUGAACCAUAUAGGAUUCUGAUUUUAAUUUGGCACUGCCCACCAGGCCAUAGGGCAAGCCCAAUGCUUUCCUUAUGAAAGCCACGUAGCCACGGCUAUAUUUCAAAGCUAAAUUAUGAAGUCAUUUUAGAAAGUUAGAGUUCUAAAAUUUGUGAAGAACUGUAAUGCUGGGUUGAUACAGCUAAAAUACCCUUUCAAAAGAGAUCGCAUUGCAGACUGACAGAUACCAAAACACUAUUUUAGUUCAGUUUGCAAGGAUUUUCAAAACCAGACAGCAUCUGGGCUCUAUUAACAACAACACGCAUGCAUUUUAAACAACAACAAUUGAAGAAGAAUUCAUUUUCAGAACACUUUCGUGGGACUCAGUAUUUUGCCAUACAUAUCCAUAGGACUUGAAAGUUAUGCUUUGCACUGUAGCCUUUCAAGUUUGAAAAUUAGUUCCUGGUAAAGGGUUGGACAUUUGUACACACUAUUACAGUCAUAGGGAUAAAUUACUGGAACGCAUGCCUUAUUAUGGUCAAGAAAGGUAAGUUUCAGUGAUAAGCCAUCGUUCGUACAACACUUCAUUCUUUAUGCAAUAUAGACAUUGUGACGCACCAUCUGUGCACAGGAAAGAGCUCUUUUGAAAUUUGAAGUAGCUUCCUCUGAGCUAAAGCACAGUAAUAACGAUGCAUGUGGGAAAGCUGCAGUUCAUAAUAACAAAAGAGAAUCACCCUUCUUCAGUUCAAAAUCUGUGGAGAAGAUUUAUGAUUAUGUUUAUCUACAUCCCUAUCUUUAUAGAUUUAUAUUUAUUUAGUCUGCAAUUCAGCCAAGACUCCUGGCACAAUGAGAAAAUGGCUAUGUAUCUCCUUAACUGUGAUACCACUUCAGGGGGGUUGUUUAUAUGAGCUGUUGAAGAAGCCCUCAAACUAUUUCAGGAAAGCAGGACGAGUUACUUGCACACUUCCUUGGAGGUGUUCAACACGCUUGUUGUUCAGCACACACACUUGGAGGUUUUCAAGACCAGGUUGGAUGGGGCCAUGGGCAACCUGAUCUAGUAAAUGUGUAUGUUUGGUGGCCCUGCCAGGCAGGGGGGUUGGAACUACAUGAUCCUUGAGGUCCCUUCCAACCUGGGUCAUUCUGUGAUCUGUGAUUCCUUAGAGCAGAAAAGAGUGCCCUCUGAUGGCUAACCUUUUGGGUUUAAUAUCUACAAUGUUAAUGCCAACCUCAACUUAGGAAAUUCAUAAAGCAAAAUCACAACAAUGCAAGAUGCCAGAGCAGUUCGUUAUCUCAAGAAAAAGAAAUUAUCUUGAUUUAUUUAUGACAGUAAUUAAAAAUAGGGGUGGAGGUAUAGUCUUAGUUUUUUCAUUAAAUUAAUAUUGGUCAGUUUUUCUAGUAGCAAAAUUAAUGCAUUUGACAGUACAGAACUGUUACCUGCAUGCAUUCUCUGAUCUAAGUUUUGUUUUACUGUGAUAAGCUUGCUUUAAGGCUUGGGAAAGUGGCAUGUAGAACGUAUACAAGUCCCUAAGCCUUCAGUUUAUUUCAGAACAAUAAAAACGUGAAUGCCCGAGGGUGUGACACCACUCUUCAAUGAGUAAACUUGCCUUUUUUUUUUCCUUCUUUUCUUUGGAUCUUCAAUUCAACUAUUAGCAAUGCUGAUAAUAGUUUUUAUUAGUCCUCGCUCACUUUUCAAAGCAUGAAAUCCAAGGAUAACUGUCAGCAGCUGAUUCUACAGUCUACCCAUUUUAAACAUGCCUUUCCCAGUAAUUUCAAGAUAGCUAGAGAAUUUCUGGCUUAUUAGACUCAUAUUGAUCUAUAAAUCAGAGAUAUAGGAUUCAGGGGGAAUGGCUGAAGUGAAAGCCAAAUUCCAAAUUCUCUCAUUUACCCCACUGUCAACUGGCAGCAAUGCUAAGUACUGUAAACACCAAUCUCUUCACAAGAUAUUUGAAAUACAGGCCCAGAACAGCAGAAAGCCCUGCACACAUUGGCAUUCGCUAAAUACAUCAUAUUGAUUUCAUUACCUGUUAGCAGAGGAAUGAGUGUGGGUCCUCAAAACCACUAUGGUUCAAUACAGAAAGAUUUUGGUGUGUUAAGGCCUGUAGAUCAAUCUUCAUAUGAUGACGAGUUAGAAGAGGCAAUUAUAUACGGCUAAAGUCUCAUUUGCUGCUUUUCCAUAGUUCUUCAAAUAACUUCCUUACAGCAUGGACUUGGAUAAAGAUUCUUUGUAAGCUGACAACUGAAUGUAGAUAAGUGACAAAGGAAAGCACACAGAAAGAUAUGAGCCUCAAAUAUACUUAUUAAAACAGUUGCGCCUGCUAUAAAGAUAUUACUAAAGAAUCACCAUACUCAGUUAUGAAUUUAAUUGAUUCUGUUUUCUUAUUAAAUAAAUAAAUAAAUGAAGCUA